rnacentral:lncRNA from 1 species
UACUUAGUUUCUUGAUGCAGUCAAACAAUGUUCUCUUAACUAUAUUAUUUGAUCUUUUAGUGAUUUAGACUUCAGAGUAAAAAUCUUUUUUUUUUUUUUUUUUUUUUUUUAUUGGUAAGCAGGGUUGUGGGGACCCUUACCCCAGUAAAUUACGUGUGGAAACUUAUAUCAACAAUCAACUGUUGACGUGUUUCGAACCCACGACCUCUCCACUUUGUGAGAGGGGUGCUACCAUUGAGCCACAGGCUCAUUCGCCUUCAGAGUAAAAAUCUACCAUUGCAUAGUAUAAUUAAGCUCAUGUAAUACUCAUGAGUCUGAAUAUCAUUGGCAUCCAAUAAUGAAAGAGCCUACAUUUCUGUAUGUGAAUGUCUCAUCCAUGAUCGAGUCAAGUAUGUAUAUAAAGGAUUGC